GCAGUACUGCCAGAUGUCUGCCAGAGAGUGGGGAAGAGAAGGGACCAGCACAGGUACCCCUCCAUCCCCUACCUAUUAGUGAAGAUCUGUUUGGCAGAGUAGCUGUUGACAUUAUAGUUGUGCAGGCACUUUGGUGAUUCUAGAGAAACUCGGGCCAAUCGCACGUCCCCAUGACGGCGACUUUGCAUUCGGAUGUCUGACCUAUCAACUUUCAAUGCCACUUUCUGCACCUACCAUGGUGACCACGGGUAAUGGGGAAUCAGGGUUUGAUUCCG
rnacentral:rRNA from 1 species